UUCAUGUUUUUGCCGCACGAUGCUCCUCCAACGGCCAGCAACACACGUCAGAAAGCGCAGCGGUCUUCUUCACGGUUUAUCUGCUCCAAGCGUCUGACGGUUUCUAGACGGGGCACAAAGUGGCGGCUUCAAGAAGGAAAAACUCCAUUGUCGCCGUGAGAAAACGGACGCCACCGUCACAGCCGACGAAAGCUACUCCAGGUACGGUCCCUCUUCACCGACUCUCUCCCCAUGCGCUGUCAGGAGUAGACAGGAGGCACCGAGAGCCCAACGUCGGAGAUCUCCACCACCAUGGAGGCUGGCCAGCGCCAUGCGGCGAGAAAAUCGUCGAUCCAAUGUCCCGGCCUCCUCUGAUGUUUCAGCCCUCCUCCUCCGAUGCCUCCGCCCUCGCCUCGGGCAGGGUCCCUCUUGCCAUGGCUUUCCUCGCCUGUCUCUGCGUCACCGGAUGGUAUGCCCCCCCUGCCCGCACUCCCAAACACUUCGAUCCAGCACCCAAUGCUCCGUCUCAGGUUGAGACAGGAUGCGCAGACCCGGGCGACCUUUCCGACCUUCUCAAGAAGUGCUCCAGCAGCGUGCACGUCUCUCAUCCCCUCAUCACUUCUACUCGCAUUUUUAGUUCUUCUCUUGAUUUGGCCUGACGGCGACACCUGAUUGCAGGUCCCCAAGGUUCUCUUGGUGGAGGACAAGAUUAGGAACUUUAGAUGCAAGUGAGUUUUCAAAUCUUGUUGUGUUAAUUUUUGCUUUGCUGUCUCGAAAUGGCGUGGUGGCAGGGCGAUUAGAAUUAAAAUUGUUGAGGUGGAGAUGGACCUGAGUACUGGCCAAGGCAAAAGCGAGGGGUACAUGUGGGGCGGUGGGGAAACAGGACUGUAGCUAUAGACUUCAACAAGAAGAAGCAACUUCCGUCGUUGGAGUCUACACUAGGACUGGGUUUGACUCCCGUUUCAAGACUAACAUCUACUUUAGCAAGCUGCUGUCCGACCACACACACACGAGACAUAAAUAUGUGUCAUGUUUCAACUUUUAUGAAAAAAAUUUACUCAACGACUCGCACACUACUGAUACUAACAAAUUAUUUAAAAUAAUAACCAUGAUAUAGAAAAUAUAUAAAUUAUUAUGUUAGAUAUGUUUACAUAUUUUAACUAAAAUAUUUGACAUAUAGUAUAACCUUAAAUUGAAAUUCAUAAGUGCAAAUAUAAUUUCUUGAUAUGAAAAAACGAGAAAUAUUGAUACAUUUGGGGCAAUUGGUGUUGAUUGGAGGUGGCUACAUCUUUUUACAAUUUCAAAUUUCUUUGUAGCAAAUAGUCAUUAUGAGAACAAAAAUUAAUAUCCUCUCGAGGUUAGCAAUACUGACAUUUACAGAUCUCCAUUUAUUUAUAGUGUCCCUUCAUACACAAUAAUGCACAUACACAUUUUCUGUUAUUCCAAUCCCUCCUCUACAUAGAUACAACAAAUCUAAUUUGUUCCUUCCUAAUAUCGUAUAUUGGCAUGUUCACUCAUUGUUUGGGAGCAUCACAAUUCACAAACUCCUUUGCACAUGUUGCAACUUUUACUGGAUCAGUUGCGAAGUCAAGAUUUCGGGGAAACAAAUGCCCAUUUCCACUUCAAAGCUUCAAAGCUCGUGCGUGAACUAGGUCCAUCACAAAGGAGAUGUGCGUGAACGCAUUACGCAUACCACUACAAAGCUCGUGCGCUUUCACCAAGUACUAUGACUGCUUGUCAGCAUCCAUUUACACCAAGAACAAGGAAUGUUUCUACCAAAGCGUUAGUUGUGAUUAUUUUGAACUGUAAUGAUCAAUUACAGACUUAAGUAUGUCGAUGAUCAUAUCAUCAUCAGCGGCUGACAACAGCUCAUAUACGUCAGUUCGUGUUGCCGUAAGACCGCCUCCAACAGAUUAUCAAAUAGCUUAUUUAAAAUAUUGUUUUUUACUAUUCUGCA